rnacentral:lncRNA from 1 species
GGAGACUAGUCUUUUUCUAAAGUACUAUUUUAAAAUGACAAUGCAUGAAGAGGAAGUCCCAUUUGUGUAAGAACACACUUUUCACCUCUAGGUGCCAAAGCAACUCUUCAAAACAAAACAAAACAAAACAAAACAAAAAACCUCUCUUGCAUCAUUUAUAUAUUGAAGAAAUAUAAGUAGUUAAAAGCCCUGGUUCAGCUUAUCACUGACGUGAUUCUGAUAGAGAAAAAUCAACAUUUGUAGUGGAUAAGCUCCACUAACACUAGUACUGUUGAGAUUUCGGGUACUAGUACAAAAAAGAUGGGAAAGCUUCUUUCUAAAUACUUACUGUCUGAAUUGGGCGAAUAUGCAUGUGCAAAAUUAAUUUCACAAGGAAAACCUGCUGAAUAAUCUGGAAGUCUGCUUCAACUGAACCGUUACGUUGAAGUCCGUUUGCUCAGCCCUGGGAGAGAAAGACCUUUGCCCACUGAAGAAAGGGAAGAUGUACGAGCCACUGUGAAAGCCAGAUGGUGUGGAGUUCUUUUUAAGAGGCUGGGAAUAUCACUAUCUUCUGAAGGAGGAAAUGUUUUUGGACAAUUUUCCUCUUCUGCUUUCAAGAGUCAAGGAAGAUAUAUAACCUUAGAUCCAGGACCUUUUGAGGAAUGGACAAAAUAUGACAGAGGUACAAAGAACAAAAAACAAACAAACAUGCUCCAAAACCUCUGAGAAAUUGUGUUGUCAAUCAAAUACAGAGACCUGAUAUUUAACUCAAACCAAUAGUAGACUCCUUUCUCUUGGUAACAGAGAGGUCCUUGUAUGCUGAACAUGACAGGGAGCCCUAAAAACAUAUUUCUAAAAGGUCAUUUCGCAUAAAGACAGUCACUGUCUGUGGGGAGGACCAACAAGGGUUAGCCACUUAAAUACAGACCCUUAAAUAGGACGGAAGGGUUGAUGUGGGAGGAACAUAGGGAAAUAUUUUGGAGGAGAUUUCUUUGUAAGAUUGAGACUAUCUGGGUGAAAUACCUUUCUCUGGUCACUUCCAAUGUUGAUCACUCAUAGUCCAGUUCCCACAAAAUAACCUGUUGGCUUUUUGCUAUCUGUGUCUACCUUCACCACAGUCAAGUUUAAUUUUUAAAAUCAGAAACUGUACUUCAUACAUAAAACACAUUGUUUCCCUUGAGGUUUGCUCAUUGAAUGAUAAAGAAACAAUGAAAGCCGUACCUCUGGAGAUCUCUAAUUUUACUUUUUUGUAACUGCAUUCCUUUUGGUGUCACUUACCAACACCU